CCCUGCGGUUUUGUUUUUCUCUUUUUCUUAUCAAUUUCAUUAUUUUUUUCCUUAAAUUAGUAAUAAAGUUAAAAUUAAAAGGUACUAAAGUGAAUAUUUGAUAAAUAUAGAUGGGUAUCUGAAGUUUUUUGUAUAUAAUUUAACGAAAUAUUAACGAAAAAGCUACCGAAAAGAUAAAAACGAAACCACAGGGGGGCAAAUUGAUACACUUUAAACCACAGGGGGGCAAAGUGAAAAACUACGAAACCACAGGGGGGUUUUUGAAGUUUUCCAUUGAUUUUAUCCAACGGUUGAAAAUAAAAAUAUUUUACACUUUUUGUGAUAAUAAUACUUUCGUAUUUUCUUACAGGUAAUAUCCAUCACGCAAUAUUCGCUAUGUACAACGAGUUUAUCAAAAUAUUUUUUUUCUCACACAUAAUAUCCAGCCUAUCAUUCCAUCAUAAUACUUAUUUUUCCUCUCACACAUAAUACUCCCACCUAUUAUCUCAUGACAAUACUUAUCCUUUCUCAUACUUAAUAUCCGCUACUUAAUCGUCUCAUAUAGUCCUAUACGAUAAUGCCAUAUAACUACUAGAUAUUUUUAUUAUUUUUUAAUAUUAGAUAAUAAUUUUAAAUCGUGGGAAAUAUGUUNCACCUAUUAUCUCAUGACAAUACUUAUCCUUUCUCAUACUUAAUAUCCGCUACUUAAUCGUCUCAUAUA
rnacentral:lncRNA from 1 species